GCACUGUGCACGCAGUAAAACCAGUGACCUCCCUUUAUAAACAGUACGCAUCCCAAAAAGUUCCCAUCUUUGGUAAAAAAAGGCAACGUGUUGAUUACAAAUGACAAAUCAGGGCCCAGGUUACACGUUGUUGUCUGUGCUCUGUGCUCAUAGUCAGCACUUGUUGGUUGGUGGAUGUCAGGAUGGGGUCAGGGGAGGGUAACGUUUUUAUAGGUUAAAUGAAAGAUGUCCUGGCGAUACGUUUCGCUGCCGUUAAUCUGCGAUGGCUCAGAGUCCAGGAUUGUGCCUUGACCUUCAGGCUGUACAGUAAUCCCGUUAGCCGCGGGCGGCCGGUGUGGAGAUCUCAGCAGACCUGUGCCGGCUGCGCCGCACUCUGGACCUCUACGCCGGCGGCAUGCAGAACCCCCUGUAGACACGCAGGAUGUUUAACUGGGUGGUGAAAGUGGUCCCACAACCCCCUGAAGCUCCUGGAACAGACGACGCCGCCAAGACCCCCGCCGGUGGUUCAACAGGGAAGCAACCUCCACAGAAAAACUCGGAUGAGAAUUCAGAGGACAGCCAGGCCCAGGCGGGAGUUUUAGGCUGGCUGUCCAAUGGGUUCGUCAGCGCCUUGCCUCAACCUUCGGGUUCCCCUCGACUCAGCAGGUCCACCUCUGAUGCCAAGCCAGGAGAGGAUGGAGAGAGGUCUGGAGUGAUAGGUUGGGUGACUCAGGGUCUGACCAAGGUGUUGCCUCAGCCUGAGGAAAAGUACAAGGAGGCGGAAAACAAUGACGAACCCACCGAGAUCUAUGAAGUCGAAACGAUGCCAGAUUUUGAUCCCCUCCCCCACAUCCCAGUGGUGGAGAUUUUGUCGGAGGACGAGUCGGAGGUGGAGACGCCUCAGUUCCCUCCAAACGUGGUGACGUGGAUAAAGCGGAUGGUCCCUCAACCAAUUUUACUGCCCCCUGGUGCCGUACCCAUUGAGCCAUCAAGCAGGGCAUCCCAUUCCUCACUGGACAAAAUUUUGUCUCCACCACCCGAGUCCCUCAGUGGAAUCUCACUGGAUACUGACAGCAAGGCCUCAGCGUAGGUUUCAUCCAUCACUGUCUUAUUUUAUCAGACUUCACCCAAGACAACAUGCAAGAUAAAAUAACGCUCGCAUGGAGAAAAGAAAAUGGUUAAUUAGCUUGCAGAGCUCGGCCAGCUGGAGCAAAGGAAGCUUUAGACGCUGAAGGCUUUAAUUGGAUUAACACGUCAUCCAUCCAUCCAUCUUACAACGACGGCACAUGGACGGCUGAGAUGUCGACUGGCUCUACUGGUCUUUUUCUGGAAAAAUAUAUUGAGAUUAAACACUGUGAUGUUGGAAAAUCCUAAAAGUAACAGUUUGUGUGUAAGUGUGUAAAAGUACAUGCCGUAAAGUCGUUGGUCUCUUGACAGUGUGGUUGGCUGGUUUGUGUCAGGACUCGGCCUGAAGAUGCCUCAGCCUGCACUUCCAUCCAGAGAUAAUGCUGAGAGUGCGACUGAAGUUCUACAGAAAGGGGGGAAGGCGCUGCGAGCCCCUUAAACAGCAGGAGGAGACGUCUGGGGGACGCUCUGAUUCCCACACAGAUAUAUAUUAAUAUAGAUAUUGCACUGCUGGGAGAGGUGCAGGUGCUGUGACGCCUGCAGCUCUGCACAGAUAGGCAGCUGUAAAAUAACACAAGAAUAUUGAGAUAUAUUCAACUCACCUUACUGUACUUUGUACAGUUUCAAAUGAAUGUAUGAUAACUGAAAUGCGUGCAUUAAUGUAAAAAGUAUACUUUUAUGUAGAAAAAUUAGAUGAGGUUUUGUCUUUGUGAUUGGGAUUUUGCACAUUUGCCAUUUAAUUGAAACUACCGCAGGUUUCAUUCGCAAAAAAUUGCAGAAAGAACAUUUUAUGUGACUUUAUUGUGCUUUAAGCUGUGGCAAUGUACACUUUAAAUUCAUGUUGCCAUUUUCAUAUGUCUCUCUGUCUCUUUACAUGAUACAGCAACAGGAGAUAAAAAAAUAUAAUUUACUGGUUAUUGAUUUAGAUACAAGAAUAAUUAUGAGACGUCCAAUCUUCCACAUUCCAUUAACAGAAAUCUGGAUUUACUAAUAAAAUGGCAGCUAUGUUCAUUUAUCAUUGUGUUAUUUUUUGACAAAGUACAAAAUUAAUUAAUUAAAAUUUAUAUUUGACAAUUACUUGAAAUUAUAUUCCUGCUCAUUAACAGUCUGCUAAUCAUUGUGCUCCAGUUUGGUUCUUAAUCAUGUAGGAGUUUGACUUAGCUUUGUAACAGCUUUGAUUGAACAACCAGACACAGACAUACAAAUAAGCCUAUUUGAUUGGUUUUCAUGUUGAACUUUUUGAACUGUGAAAUGUGGCCUGGGGACUUGUUGAGUUGUUGUUUCAAAAGGUUUGACUUCAUUUAAAUGAACCACAUUUGCACACAUUGAAAUUUGUUGACCGUCUUCAAGACAAGACAGUCAACAAAUUUGUGUAAUUAGACACUGUAAUGUUAGGAUACUACAGGACUAAUAAAGAUGCAAUGUUCAAUCAUAUCAUGUGGUUGCCUUAUCAAUAACACCUUUCAUUGC
ensembl:lncRNA